UCUGGUUCAGCUGAAGCAGCAGUCCUUGAAAAGAAAGGCAGGAUUGAAAAGGACAAAAAGUCCAAGUUCUGGAAAUCUCCUUGGUGUGGCCGCUUACUGGCACAAAUGCAUAAGCCACAGUCCUGAGUGCCCUCGUGCAUCACAGGAAGACAGUGCAAAGAGCUGGGCCUUUCCCGGGGACCGGAAACAGAAAGUUGCUUCUCAACUCAGAAUCACACGGGUUAGAGACCCAGACCCCAGGCCUCCAUUUCCGACCUGCUGAAUCAAAAUCUCCGCAGCGAGGACCGGGAAUCUGGAUUUAACCAGAGUUGGAAGAAUGCUAAAUCCUUCAAUGUGGGGCAAACAGACUGAGCAGAGGUCUUUCAGAGUUUCCUACUUCAUGGUUUUC